rnacentral:rRNA from 1 species
UACGAGGGGGGCAAGCGUUGUUCGGAAUUAUUGGGCGUAAAGGGCGCGUAGGCGGUGCGGUAAGUCUGAUGUGAAAUCUCCGGGCUCAACUCGGAGUCUGCAUCAGAAACUGCCGUGCUUGAGUGUGGGAGAGGUGAGUGGAAUUCCCGGUGUAGCGGUGAAAUGCGUAGAUAUCGGAAGGAACACCUGUGGCGAAAGCGGCUCACUGGACCAUUACUGACGCUGAUGCACGAAAGCUAGGGGAGCAAACAGG